rnacentral:rRNA from 1 species
GACGAACGCUGGCGGCGUGCUUAACACAUGCAAGUCGAACGAAGAGCGAUGGAAUCUUGCUUCUAUCAGUCUUAGUGGCGAACGGGUGAGUAACGCGUAAUCAACCUGGCCUUCAGAGGGGGACAACAGUGGGAAACGACAGCUAAUACCGCAUACGAGCCAAUGUGGGCAUCGGGACGGGAUGAAAGGUGGCCACUAUUUAUAAGCUAUCAAUGAAGGAGGGGAGUGCGUGUGAUUAGCUAGUGGGAGGGGGAACGGCCCACCAAGGCGAAGAUAGGUAGCCGGUCUGGGAGGGUGGACGGCCCCAUUGGGACUGGGACCCGGCCCCGGCUCCUUCGGGAGGCCGCAGUGGGGGAUCUUCCGCCAUGGACGGAAGUCUGACGGCGCAACGCCGCGUGAGUGGUGACAGCCCUCGGGUUGUUAAGGUCUGUUAAUCGGGACGAAUGGUUCUUGUGCUAAUAGCGCGAGGAUUUGACGUUACCGGAAGAGAAAGCCACGGCUAACUACGUG